CUGAACCUCACCUGAUCCUGUUUGGUCGGGGGCAGACGCACCUGAGCUGAACCCCACCUGAUCCGGACAUCCUGCUGGUCCCGUCUCCUCAGUUCAUCUGAGCCUCUUCCUCCAGAAGACAUGCUGAGCUCGGCGGUCUGAGGCUGAUGUAUCAAUGACCUCCAGUGGGAGUGAUCUUCUUGACCCCACAUGUAGCCGUGUGCUUCCACACGCCUUUCCCUCACGUCUGUCACUAACCUCAUUACUUCACUACUCUCUACUCCUUCUCCUUCUUCUUCCUUCUCCGUGGUUCGAACCUUUACUCUGAAGGAGAAUCUCCUUGAACCUUUACACUGAAGGAGCGUCUUCCUGUCCUCAGAGGGUUCAGCGUUAGGGUUGAGAGUCAGGGUUUAGAGUCAGGGACAGAGCUGGUCAGGGAGGGCUGGUUUUACAUAAACCUUUUCACUUGCUUUCUGAAUGGUGGUGACAUUUUGAAAAGAUUAAUUUGGGAAAAUGUUUUCCUCUUUUUUUGCUUUACAAAAAUAUGUAUUAAACUUCUGUGUUUGUAACCAGACCAGGUAUCCAUGGCUGAAGGAGCUGAUGGUGGAGCCGUGCUGAAAGAGCGGAUGGAGGAGCCGUGCUGACGGCCCUGCCUGGUGGAGGAGCCGUGCAGACGGCCCUGCCUGGUGGAGGAGCCGUGCUGACGGCCCUGCCUGGUGGAGGAUGUCUGUCGUGGGACCAGGACUCUGUCUGAGGAGAGCAGAUGGAGGAGCUGAGAUGCUGGAGGACAACUAGGAAUCGACCAACAAGGAUUCUUCAACGUGUUUCUGGAGCGGAGGCCAGCUGGUAGGGGAGCCGUGAAUCUGGAGGAUGACCAUCACUCUACCAACAAGGAUUACUUUAGGGCCAGACUCGCGCUGUUUGUUCCAGACCAGGACUCUGGCUGAGGAGAGCUGAUGGAGGAGCCAAGACUCUGUAGGACGACAUCACUCCACCAACCAGGAUCCUCAGACAAAUUACGUUUGUAACCAGACCAGGAAUCUGGAGGACUGACGGAGAAGCUGUACAUCUAGAAGGCAAAUCCUGAGGACGAUCAGGACUCUACCAUCAAGGAUUCCUCACACACAUGAGCUGAACCUCACCUGAUCCUGUUUGGUCGGGGGCAGACGCACCUGAGCUGAACCCCACCUGAUCCGGACAUCCUGCUGGUCCCGUCUCCUCAGUUCAUCUGAGCCUCUUCCUCCAGAAGACAUGCUGAGCUCGGCGGUCUGAGGCUGAUGUAUCAAUGACCUCCAGUGGGAGUGAUCUUCUUGACCCCACAUGUAGCCGUGUGCUUCCACACGCCUUUCCCUCACGUCUGUCACUAACCUCAUUACUUCACUACUCUCUACUCCUUCUCCUUCUUCUUCCUUCUCCGUGGUUCGAACCUUUACUCUGAAGGAGUGUCUCCUUGAACCUUUACACUGAAGGAGCGUCUUUCUGUCCUCGGAGGGUUCAGCGUUAGGGUUGAGAGUCAGGGUUUAGAGUCAGGGACAGAGCUGGUCAGGGAGGGCUGGUUUUACAUAAACCUUUUCACUUGCUUUCUGAAUGGUGGUGACAUUUUGAAAAGAUUAAUUUGGGAAAAUGUUUUCCUCUUUUUUUGCUUUACAAAAAUAUGUAUUAAACUUCUGUGUUUGUAACCAGACCAGGUAUCCAUGGCUGAAGGAGCUGAUGGUGGAGCCGUGCUGAAAGAGCGGAUGGAGGAGCCGUGCUGACGGCCCUGCCUGGUGGAGGAGCCGUGCUGACGGCCCUGCCUGGUGGAGGAGCCGUGCUGACGGCCCUGCCUGGUGGAGGAUGUCUGUCGUGGGGUAGAUGGAGCCUGACUCUGUGACAUCACACUCACUGCCACUUCUCGUAGAAUACUGCUACCACAAACCACCGGCGUUUGUAACAAUAUACCAGACGACUACAUCUGUUUUACCACAUGUUGAAGCAAGACUUCUGCUGUUUGUUCCAGACCAGGACUCUGUCUGAGGAGAGCAGAUGGAGGAGCUGAGAUGCUGGAGGACAACUAGGAAUCGACCAACAAGGAUUCUUCAACGUGUUUCUGGAGCGGAGGCCAGCUGGUAGGGGAGCCGUGAAUCUGGAGGAUGACCAUCACUCUACCAACAAGGAUUACUUUAGGGCCAGACUCGCGCUGUUUGUUCCAGACCAGGACUCUGGCUGAGGAGAGCUGAUGGAGGAGCCAAGACUCUGUAGGACGACAUCACUCCACCAACCAGGAUCCUCACCAGGAAUCUGGAGGACUGACGGAGAAGCUGUACAUCUGGAAGGCAAAUCCUGAGGACGAUCAGGACUCUACCAUCAAGGAUUCCUCACACACAUGAGCUGAACCUCACCUGAUCCUGUUUGGUCGGGGGCAGACGCACCUGAGCUGAACCCACCUGAUCCGGACAUCCUGCUGGUCCCGUCUCCUCAGUUCAUCUGAGCCUCUUCCUCCAGAAGACAUGCUGCGCUCGGCGGUCUGAGGCUGAUGUAUCAAUGACCUCCAGUGGGAGUGAUCUUCUUGACCCCACAUGUAGCCGUGUGCUUCCACACGCCUUUCCCUCACGUCUGUCACUAACCUCAUUACUUCACUACUCUCUACUCCUUCUCCUUCUUCCUUCUCCGUGGUUCGAACCUUUACUCUGAAGGAGUGUCUCCUUGAACAUUUACACUGAAGGAGCGUCUUCCUGUCCUCAGAGGGUUCAGCGUUAGGGUUGAGAGUCAGGGUUUAGAGUCAGGGACAGAGCUGGUCAGGGAGGGCUGGUUUUACAUAAACCUUUUCACUUGCAUUCUGAAUGGUGGUGACAAUUUGGGAAAAUGUUUUCCUCUUUUUUUGCUUUACAAAAAUAUGUAUUAAACUUCUGUGUUUGUAACCAGACCAGGUAUCCAUGGCUGAAGGAGCUGAUGGUGGAGCCGUGCUGAAAGAGCGGAUGGAGGAGCCGGGCUGACGGCCCUGCCUGGUGGAGGAGCCGUGCUGACGGCCCUGCCUGGUGGAGGAGCCGUGCUGACGGCCCUGCCUGGUGGAGGAGCCGUGCUGACGGCCCUGCCUGGUGGAGGAUGUCUGUCGUGGGUUAGAUGGAGCCUGACUCUGUGACAUCAAACUCACUGCCACUUCUCGUAGAAUACUUCUACCACAAACCACCGGCGUUUGUAACAAUAUACCAGACGACUACAUCUGUUUUACCACAUGUUGAAGCAAGACUUCUGCUGUUUGUUCCAGACCAGGACUCUGGCUGAGGAGAGCUGAUGGAGGAGCCAAGACUCUGUAGGACGGCAUCACUCCACCAACCAGGAUCCUCAGACGAAUUACGUUUGUAACCAGACCAGGAAUCUGGAGGACUGAUGGAGAAGCCGUACAUCUGGAAGGCAAAUCCUGAGGACCAGCAGGACUCUACCAUCAAGGAUUCCUCAUAAGUUUGCAUUAUCUGGACAAAGUGGCCUAGACACACCUGAGCUGAACCUCACCUGAUCCUGUUUGGUCGGGGGUAGACACACCUGAGCUAAACCCACCCUGAUCCUGACAUCCUGCUGGUCCAGUCUCCUCAGUUCUCCUGAGCCUCGUCCCAGGCUGAUGGAUCAAUGGCCUCCAGUGGGAGGGAUCUUCUUGACCCCACUUGUAACCGUGUGCUUCCACACGCCUUUCCCUCACAUCUGUCACUAACCUCACUACUUCACUACUCUCUACUGCUUCCUCUUUUCUUCCUUCUCUGUGGUUUAAACCUUUUAUACUGAAGGCGCGUCUUCCUGCCCUCAGAGGGUUUAGCGUUAGGGUUGAGAGUCAGGGUUUAGAGUCAGGGACAGAGCUGGUCAGGGAGGACUGCUUUUACACAAACCUCUUGACUUGCUUUCGGAAUGGUGGUGACAUUUUGAAAAGAUUCAUUUGGUAAAAUCUUUUCCUCUGCUUCCCUUUACAAAAUUGUAUCAAACUUCUGUCAAGUGUUUUUGUUUAAAUAUUAAAAUCCCACAUUGACUUCUACAUGUUUGGUGCGGUUCAUUUAUUUGUCCUUUUAACUUGGUUAAUGUCAAGCUAAACUCCUGCAAUACAUUGAUAUACAUGAUUGUUAUUCAACAAUGUUCACAUAAUCCAUUUUGUAAAAAUAGGAAACCCCAAUAUUACUACUAAAUUCAAGCCUAUUCAUGUAUUUAAAGGCCCACUAUGCAAGAUCGGGAAUUUCUUCGCUGUUUUCUUGGUUUGGCACGCACCUUUCUCUACACAGCGCCCCCUACAGCUUCGUAGUAGAUAUUUUACAACACUGUCGUAACAACUCGUUGACGACCCUUCCCCAUGCACUUCUACGCUAGCCAUGUGCAUUUGUUUUCAAAGAAGCCGGCGAAUGCGUGGAGCUG